UUCAAUAUACCAAAGCAAUUGAACUUAUAAAGGUGGAUUCAAACACAUGGAAAGACUGGUUAUAUGAAUUGGAGCUGUUAGUGUCACAAUUGACUGUACUCUAGCUAUCUGAAAUCAAUUAUCAAACUACAAAACACCAAGGCUUACUACUUCCAUCUUAAUUCAACACAUAAUCCAUUCUACGAGUAUCAAUUCAAUAAUACUUCUAUAUUCUUAUCAAUUCAUCUCUCACUUGCUCUCUUUGCGGUUUACAUAUAUUCAAUUACUGAUUUCUAGCUUACUUAUUAUAUUUAAUUUUUCAAUUCAUCACACAGAAUUCAAUAU
rnacentral:lncRNA from 1 species